rnacentral:tRNA from 1 species
GGCGUUGUGGCUCAGCGGUAGAGUUCUUGCCUAGCAUGCAUGAGGCACUGGGUUCUAUUCUCGGUACCACCU